GGUUAGUCAGGGGACAAUUUGAAAAUUCCCUCCCAGAGAGCUGAAAAGUGUCCUGGAGUUCUUAACGUGAGUUCCAAGGAAGCCAAAUAAUUGUAAUGUGAUGCGUUAUUCUUUCACAGCAACCUGUCGAGUAUGGCUUCCUGAUAACAGAGCGUUUGCCCAAGUCUUAUUGCAACCAGAAUCGAAAGUUAGAAGAAACAUGCCAGCUCAAGAGAAAGGCCACAAAGCAGCAGGCAACCAAAACACUGGUGAAAAUCUUCUUGGACAACGAAAACAUAUUUUCAAGAGUUUUCAUAUCCAAGCUUAUUCUCAGAUUAUCAAUAUGAAAGGGCAAUAUUGAAAGGAGGAGGUGAGUUGAGAGCUCAAAAAAACAGAAAGUGAUUCCCGGGUAGACAAUAACAAUUCUAGCACUUUCUGGCUAUAGGGUUCCCCUUGGCAUGCAGCCACCUCAUUUAGAGUUAACAAUGGACAUCCAUCAAAUCUUCAUUUAAAAUAAAAGUCAUGCUGCAA